UACGUAGGGGCCGAGCGUUGUCCGGAGUUAUUGGGCGUAAAGCGCGCGCAGGCGGCCUCGCGCGCCCGACGUGAAAGCCCCCGGCUUAACCGGGGAGGGUCGUUGGGGACGGCGGGGCUUGAGGGCGGGAGAGGGUGGUGGAAUUCCCGGUGUAGUGGUGAAAUGCGUAGAGAUCGGGAGGAACACCGAUGGCGAAGGCAGGUCUCUGGGCAUUAACUGACGCUGAGGAGCGAAAGCGUGGGGAGCGAACAGG
rnacentral:rRNA from 1 species